rnacentral:lncRNA from 1 species
GGAUAGGAGCGGCGGACUUUCGCGGAUAUCGGUUCUGUCGGUUAGGUGCCAGCCGCCGUCGCGUUCGCCGCUCCUCCUCGAGCGCCGAGCGAGCGUCGUCCUCAGGCCUCGUCGAGUUCCUCGCAACCCUGACACGAUCGGAAAUCCGACCACUCCUGUCAUUCUUCCGACCUACUGAACAGACCCACCCGCCGUUCCGUCCUGUGAUCACGAUCGAGCAAAGCGUUCGCUUUAUCAACCCUUCAGUGCCCGGCCUGCCAGACAUGGCUGUUUCGUUUUUAAGCCUCACGGUUCAUCGAUUUUCAUCGAGAAAAUAACUACGAAUAUUUGACAAGCUUUUCGAUGCUGUGAAGAAAGUUUUCGAACCCGAGGAUCGUUAACGGGGUCAUUUGUUCGGUUACUGAACAUGAAAAUUGAAGCUUUCUGAAAUUCAGAAUUUUCACGUAUUUACGUAUCGAGAAAUGUCUUACAGUUGAGAAAUAUACAAUUUCAUCCCUUUAAUUGAAGUGAAGUCAGAGUUAUGAAUGAAAAAUGCGUCGUCGCAUGCAACUGUCAACUUUUGUGCAUCAAGUUUAAAUGGAUAGCGUUUUUCUAUUUCCAUAACUCGAUCCACAUUUUGAAUAUCCGAGCUGAGAAAAGUCCAUUUUACGGAACUCAAUUCAUUCUUGCAGUGAAAGAAACUUUGGAUUUGUAACGUACCCGUUGCCGGGAAUUAAAGUAAUGGAAUACCGAAGAGUCUCGUAAAUCUUCGAAUAUCAAACAACUGAAAUUAUUAACUAUUAAAUUCCAUUUUCGAUAAACGACCAUUAAAAACGAAGCAGAGAGACAGAGCGGGAAUGAAAUAAAAACAUGAAACAUGCCACGAUUCAAGGAUAAAUCCAACCGCCAACGACUUUACACACACACGAAAUACGUCUGUUAUAAUUUAUCGAAGAAAUUAUUCACCAAGAGCGACGUAAUAACUAACACACAAAGUAAAAUACACACACAUACAGAAACAAGCCUGGCAUAAACCACUGAAAAAUAACAACUGUGAAGCGUGACUUUCUGGUGAAGAAAUUUACAAGAUAUACAGUGUUAAAUAUGGGGUAAAAUAAUAUUGGGUGAAUUAUACGGAUCCUGAUGCUCGUUCGAAGCGUCGAAAAGAUAGUGCGGUUGUAACGACAGUGUAAUUUCUGUUAUGCGUACCGUAUACAUACAUAUGUAAAGUGGAACAAUCAAACCUGAGUCACGUAUGUUUUGAGGUGCGAAAUUAUGCCUGUACGUGAGGAGACUUUGUACAUACCCAUAAAUUUCCAACGAUUAAAAUUUCACUUCGAAUUAUUGAAGUCACGCGGUGCUGCAGCUCAGAUUCAGUUCCGCAUCCGAAGUUCUCAAUCUGUUCCGCCGGAGAAAAAACUUGUGAGUACGAAACGGAGUCUUGGUAUGUAGGUACAAUUUACACGCGAGAAUUGUGAUCGAAGAAUCGAAAUUGACAAAAAAAAAAUAAAAAAUUGCUACUACUGCAUGGGAGUGUUAGAAUAAGUUUU